AUGGGCGCGCCGGACACAUCAUGGGUGUUCGCCGACCUCGCCGUCGCGGACAGCUCCAGCCGCCGCCGCCGUUGCCGCCGUCAGCGCGACAGCGGUGCUGGUGCGGACGACCAGGAGGCCGGCAUGGGCGACGCGGCGAUCGUGUACGAGCAGGCCGACACCCUGGCGGCGCCCAUGGACUGCGCGGUGUGCCUCGGGCAGGUGGAGGCCGGCGAGAAGCUGCGUCGGCUCCCCAAGUGCGCGCAUCUGUUCCACGCCGACUGCGUCCACGCCUGGCUGCAAGCGCACUCCACCUGCCCCAUGUGCCGCGCCGCCGCCACUGGCACCACCCCGGCCGCGGCAGCGGUGCUGCCCCCUGGCGUGGUUGCAGUUGCAGGCACGCCGCCUGCCUUGGAACCGAUGGAUUGA
rnacentral:rRNA from 1 species